UACGUAGGGGGCAAGCGUUGUCCGGAUUUAUUGGGCGUAAAGAGCGUGUAGGCGGCUGGGUAGGUUCGUUGUGAAAACUCGAGGCUCAACCUCGAGACGCCGAUGGAAACCCCCCAGCUAGAGUCCGGAAGAGGAGAGUGGAAUUCCUGGUGUAGCGGUGAAAUGCGCAGAUAUCAGGAAGAACACCAAUGGCGAAGGCAGCUCUCUGGGACGGUACUGACGCUGAGACGCGAAAGCGUGGGGAGCAAACAGG
rnacentral:rRNA from 1 species